UUAUAGAUUUAACUUUAAGUCAUCUGCUCCAUGAAUUAAAUAUUUAAAUAGCUGCAGUAUAACUGACUGUACAAAGGUAGCAUAAUCAAUUGUCUUUUAAUUGGAGAAUGGAAUGAAAGAAUUAAUGAAAUAUAUACUGUCUCUAAUAUAAAUAAUGAAUUUAUAUUUUCAGUUAAAAUGCUAAAAUUACAUUAUGGGACCAUAAGACCCUAUAGAAUUUAAUACUUGAUUAUAUUUUAAUAUUAAUAUUACAUGNUUUGAGUAUCAGUAUACAGAUCAGUUAUAGAUCUAGGAUGGAUUUUCUAUCUAUAAUAAACUUUAUUUGNAAAUAAACUUUAAUUUACGAAAUUAAAAAUUUGAUAUGGUAUUAUUAAAAUUAGAAUAAAUUACCUUAGGGAUAACAGCGUAAUAUCUUNUAAGAGUUCUUAUUAAUAAAGGUGUUUGCGACCUCGAUGUUGAAUUAAAAUUAAGUUUAAAUGAAGAAAUUUAAAUAUUUAAGUCUGUUCGACUUUCAAAACCUNCCNGGAUUGAGGUC
rnacentral:rRNA from 1 species